UCUUCGAUAGUAUAGUGGCUAGUAUAUUGCCUUGUCAGACUCUCACACAGUCCAACGCGGCAGAGACCCGGGUUCAAUUCCCGGUCGAAGAG
rnacentral:tRNA from 1 species